rnacentral:misc_RNA from 1 species
CAACAAAUAAUAAAUUUUGGAAAAACAUCAAUUGACAUGGUUAAAUAACAGAUAUUUUGUGGAUAUGACUACUAGGCUGAUUAAUUUUGAUAAUUUUUGUAAUAUCUAAUAAUCCAGUGAGACACUCUUCUAUCAGUGAGUAAAGCUGGAAUGAAAAAAGACAAAUGUUACCAACCAGUGUCUUCAGACUCCCCAUCUAAGCUGGAGGGGAAGAUGGGCAAAAAUGUCAGGAAGUGGGAAGUGUUUCCUGGAAAAAAUAAAUUUUGUUGUAACGGAAGGAUUAUGAUGGCUCGACAAAAUGGAAUUUUCUAUUUCACUUGUACACUGAUUAUUGCCACAUGCGGGCUAUUCUUUGGAUUUGACUGCCCAUAUUUAGCGAAGCAUGUGACACCAGCUAUACCCGCAGUGGGUGGGGCAUUGUUUAUCUUCGUCAUGGCAACGUUAUUUCGUACGAGCUUCAGUGAUCCUGGAGUUAUUCCCAGGGCAACACCAGAUGAAGCUGCUGACAUUGAAAGACAAAUUGAUAUUCCAAACAGCGCAGUUCCUGGGGCAUACAGACCACCUCCACGUACCAAGGAGGUGGUUAUAAAGGGUCAGGUGGUCAAGCUGAAAUACUGCUUUACAUGUAAAAUAUUCAGGCCUCCCAGGGCCUCACAUUGUAGUCUUUGUGAUAAUUGUGUAGAGCGUUUUGACCAUCACUGUCCAUGGUUAGGGAAUUGUGUUGGAAAGCGGAACUAUCGCUACUUUUACUUGUUCAUCUUAUCGUUAUCCAUUCUCUGUAUUUAUAUAUUCGCCUGUGUUCUCACGCAUCUUAUUUUACGUUCUCAAGCCGAGAAUUUUCUUCAUGCCAUGAGAGAUUCUCCAGCAAGUGUGAUAGAAAUCAUUAUAUGUUUUUUCUCUGUAUGGUCUGUGGUAGGACUAACAGGAUUUCACACGUACCUUAUAUCAUCACAGCAAACUACAAACGAAGAUAUAAAAGGCUCAUUUUCAUCUAAAAGAAAUCAAGAAAAUUUUAAUCCGUACAGUCAUGGCUCUAUAUUCAAAAAUUGUUCAAGUGUUUUAUGUGGACCAAAUCCACCAAGUUUGAUAGAUAGAACAGGAUUGAUAACUUCAGACAACUCACAAGUUCACCCGGUCAGUAAAGACAGCUCCGUUAAAAGAGAUUAUUAUGGUUCAACCACAGUCACUAAACAAAAGCAAACCAGUAAUAUGGGUACAAAUACACAGACUGACACUGUAUCACCAGUAAAACAUGACAUGAUUAGUUACCAGUCCCCAGACUGGUACUAUAAGUAACAGAUUACCACCUUCUAAUGGGGAUGUGUUUCCCAAAACUACAUAGCAGUUUCUUACAAAAGAGUAUACAUCUAGAGGUCUCCCCCAUCCUGAAGUGGUCUGGUCCAGACUUGAUGCUAAGCAACAAGAAAUAGCCAAUCAGGAAAGUGUUGUUAAUUUCUCAUCCAAUCGGAAGCUAGUCCAGCCAGCCAAUCAGAAUAUGACUAUCAGCUCAGCUUUUCCAAACAAUGACUCUCCUGAAAACCAUGUGACCAGCAGUCAAAAUCACCUUGUUACUGAGACAGCAUGAUUAUGUGUAAAUACAUCAUGAGAUUUUAGACUUCAUUGAAAAAGUGUAACAUGGAAUAUGUUGUAGUGUGAAAUUUUGACUUUCUUGUACAUGUUUGAUAAUUGUAAAGGUUGAAAUUUACUGUGAUGAUGAAAUGUUAAUGUUGUUGAAGAUUCUGCAAAGUCAGAUUAAAUUUUUUUGGUUUUCUCCAUUUUCAUUUUAGAAUCACACUGAUGUAUAUAAAGUGAAAUACAUGCAGUCUGUUUAAAUGGGUUUUGCUUGUUGAAGUCAUUUUUGUAUUUAUUUAAUUGGUUUAAGUACUUUAUAUGAAAGUUAGUUUUGUCCUGUUACUUCCAGCUGUGCAAUAAUGGGGAAAAUUUAAGUAAAUUAUGUCAUUUUGUACGUUCCAUUCAAAAUGAAAUUCAGUUAUUAAAUGAAAUUAUUUGUUAAAAAAAUAUUCUGCUCAAAGUUGAAAUCCAGUUUAUAUCUCAAGUGUGGUAUCAAGUGUGAAAUACAUCUUCUGUCAACCAGUGACUUAAUUUUUUACUUGUUGAAUUUUCUUACGAUACUUUUGUUGUUGUUUGUUCAGAGAAGAAGGGACCAUUAUCAAUGCAAAGUGUUGAGUUCUAAAGUCAGUAUUUUAUCAUGUAUAUAUGUAAUUUACAAGGUAGUUUUAAAUAAGAAGUAAGGGCUGCUUUAUUCCAUAUUUACUCCGUAAUAAUCCAAAUGCUAUGUCUACUAACAUUACAGUAGUCUAUCUCAUUCAGUAUUUUGCUAAUUUCGUAGUUCCACUUUAUCAAAUCACUGCUUUGGAAAGUCAGUUGCUGUGUGAUUGGCUAAGGAGGUGUCUUCAAACAGUUAGCUGCAGUCUGAUUGGCUGAUAAGAAUGUCUUUGAAAAGUCAGCUGCCAUCUAAUUGGCUGUUAAUGUAGCCUGUCAUCUGAUUGGCUGAUAAGGUAGCCUUUGAACAGUCAUCUGCCACAUAAUUGGCUGAAAAGGUUGCCUUUGAACAGUCAGCUGCAAUCUGAUUGGCUGUUAAGGUAGCAUUUGAACAGUCAGCUGCCAUCUGAUUGGGUGAGAAUGUAGCCUUUAACCCUGUGAUUUAUAUAUUUCAGUGAAGGUUAAAUAUAAAUGUAUCUUGAAGGUUUACCUAUGGUGUUCAAAUAAAAUCCAGUUCAAUAUUUAUGUUUUGUUAAACUCACUUUUGAUGAGUUAAAUCAGUGAUCAGUCAUGUUCAGUGUUGUUGAGAGAAAACAUCACCAUAGAACACAGUAUAUAUGCUCUUACUGUUACCUGGCCCUAGCUUUGCUAUGUAACAUAUGCAGCUCUUUAGCCAUUUGUUCAAUACACAGUUCUAUACAGACUCAUAAAAGUAUAUUUUUUACUGAGAAACAAGAAAAGUCAGAAGGUUAAUAAAUGUUUAUUUUAAAUAAUUGCUGUCUCAUACAUGUGUUGUGUUUAAAAGUUGAAGAUGAGAAAUUGACAGUACAGAUGUAAUUAUUUUUACGCUUCAUGUGAUAUUUAGUGUUGUAAUUUGGCUGUAUAGAAACUUGCUGUAGUGAUUUUAGUGGCAUUUUAUGAACAUUGAUGUAGCCAUGGUCUGAGUGUAUGCAACUGUACAUGAGUUAUAGGUAAAUAUGCUGGACACACACUUCAAACAUGACUGUGUUUUUCAUACCUAAAUGAAAAAUACUUAACCCCUAUCUUCUUUUUUUUUUUGAUAAAUAAAAAUGGUUUUUAAUAUUUCUGUUAUGAAUCUUUGAGGAAAGAAACAAACAAAAACAUAAAAUUAUGUAUUUAGAUUUUUUAUUUAGAUUUUUAUCUACAGACAGUGUUACUAGUCAUUUUGAUGUCACCUUGUUCUGUAUAAAUGUUUGUAGAGGAAUUUAUUAUAUGAAAACAGAAGUUAUCAGGUCCUAAACCUAAAUAAUCUGCUAUUGCCUUACUCAUGCAGAACAAAAUCCAUGGAAGAUGUAGUCUCAGUUCAGAUUGAAAUAUUGAUGUUUCUUUAUUGAAAGUUAUUGAAAGAAAAUGCUUGACAAGUAUUGCUGGAAGGAUAUAUUUCAGUUGUAAUUUAAUUGUUAGCAGUUUUAGCCUGCUGCCGGCAAUUGAUUCUGCCUUUGUGACCAGUGCAGACCAAGAUCAGGCUGCACAUCUGUGCAGGCUGAUCAUGGUCUGCACUGUUUGCUAUUCAGUCAGAGUAAAUUUUCAGUGAACAUCCCUUCAAGUAGUAAAUGGUACUGCCCAAAUUGAAUGAUGGACCAGUCCAUUUUAGAAAUUUAGCAGGGUUAAGGUUAAUAGUGAGCAGUUUUAUUAAUCAUGGUUCAUAUUGGUAUACUGGUAAUUAUUUUGAAUAUAAGGUUAAUCAGAAAGUUCAAACUUUACUAAAAUUUGUGAGUUCCACCCUUCAGGAGUAUGAGCAAACAUAAAAGCAAUGCUGAUAUUUUCCUGUUGACAGUCAAAUUGUGAAGUUGUUGGAAAGAGUAUAAAUUUAGAAAUGUUUGAAUUAGGUACAAAGGCAGGUUUUUUUUCCAAUGUUAAAUUUUUUUUUCUGAAUUUUAGGAACUGUAGAUUUAAGUGUGGUAAAAUUAAAUGCAUUGAUUUUGUGAUUUUUAAUGUUAAUGCAACUGUCAGUGAAUUUGUUGAACAAAUAUAUUCAUGUAAUUUGUAAAUACAUUAAUACUGUCAGGUAUUUAAUGUACAUGUCUGUACUGAAUAUGUUGUUUUGAUAUCAUCAAUGAUUUUAUAUUGUUGCAUAAUCUUGUGCCAUGAGCUUUGUGAUUAAACAUUCCGUAGUAUUGUGUGUUUUACGCAUUACAGCAGAUAUUACAUGUAUAUGCAUCUAGUAAGUGAGUAGCUGUGAAAAACAAUUUUAACUACAACUUCUUAAAUUUUACAGGCAAAAUAAUGUAUCAUGUAGACUUAACUGAUAACAAUUUAGAAAUAUAUGGAUUACAAAAAUACAGAUAGAAAUAUAUGGAUUGCAAAAAUACAGAUAGAAAUAUAUGGAUUGCAAAAAUACAGAUAGAAAUGAAAUUAUAUGGAUUACAAAAAUACAGAUAGAAAUAUAAGAUACAGAUAGAAAUACAUGGAUUUCAAAAAUACAGAUAGAAAUAAAAAAUAUAUGGAUUACAAAAAUACAGAUAUUUUCAUACAUGUUUCACACUGUUUAGAACAGGUAAAAAAAUUAUGUGACAGUAAUUGUAAAUAUGAACGGGGCUUACCUGUAGAAAGUGUUUUCUUAAUUUGCACAAGAUUGAGGUGGUGCAAAUCUGUCUGGUAUUAUGAUAUUGCAGCACAAUUUUUAUUAUUGAUUAAAAUUAAUGCUUUUGAUAUUCUACAGAAAAUUUCUCUAGGUGAAAUAAAAAUAAUAAUUGAGCACUGCUGUGCAAAAACCAACGUUCAGGCUUUAGAACAAGCAGGGAUCCAGACCGUGCACAUCCAUACUGUUCGUUAAUUCCCACAUCCAUACUGUUUGUUUAUCAUUUUCAGCAUUGUGUGCAACUGAUAAUCUAACAGCCUGAGUGUAGAUUUAGACUAGACUGCACAGAUACUGGUCACCAAGCCCUAAUGCUUUUUUCACGGCGGUGCUCAGUUGCAUUUGAGAAUGAUUUUUUUUUUUACGAAUACCUCAUUGUGUACUAACUAUGUAACACGUGUGCUGCAAUGAAUGAGAGCUGAUGUAGAAAUGAUCAUUAUAAAGUGUUGUACUAAUGUAGUAUUUAAGCCACAAGGUUAUUUGUUUGUUGAUUGUAUAUGAUAAACUGUUUGUUAAGAAUUUAGUUCUGGUCUUUGGUAUUUAAGAAUUUAGUUCUGGUCUUUUUAAAAGUCAGGCAUUGAAGAUUAAAAAAUACAUUUUAUGUUUAUAUAUUAUAUAAUUAUAGAAUUAUGAUGAAGUCCGUGUGUAGUUUUGUAAAACUGCCCAAAAGUAACAUUGACCAAGGAAGUAGUUUGAAGUCAAUAUUACUUUCAGGCAGGUCAACAAAAACUGUACACUGAUUGAAACAUUAAACUACCAAUGGUGUAAUGUCCCUUUUCACAUUUAUUUAUCCUUUUUUUUACGUGGUUAAAAGUUAAUGUCACUGUCUCUGAGUCAGUAUCUGCUGUUGCGGAUCCACAUGUGCUGUGUACUCAACCAGGAAUGUGAACAUUAUUCAACAGGGUAUAUAUUAUUACUGAUGACUUAAAUUCAUUUUCAGAAAAGGCAUGAUAUUGUGUUUAUAGUAGAACUGCAAAAAUGUCUGAUUUUAAAGUGUAUUUAAAUAUUUACUAACAUGAAAAAUGAUAAUAUAUUAAUGUAGAGAAUACAACAGAAAUACUUGUGUAUACUUCCAAGAAGUAAGUCACAAAUUUUUUCUCAAAGGAUAUGUCAGUAGACCAUUGCGAGGAAAUAAAUAGAAUAUACCAGUGCCUCUGUAACUAGUCAGUUUUCACCAUCUGGAUAUUCCUUUAAUUGUUUUUGUUUGUCAGUUUCACAUGGUUUAACAUUAUAGUAGGUAGUCGCUCAUUGAUAACAUACAUUACAAUUCUUCUGAUAAGAAUCUUUAGAGAAUCAUUGUUUGUAUAGGAAUUAAGUUGAGAUUACUAUAUAUAAUACUUUUUUUGAAAAAACUCUGUAACUAUAGCUGUUGGUGAAGGAUUAAUUGACUUCAGUUCUUUUCAGAUUUGUACAUGUAGUAGAUAAGGCAAAAAAAAAAAAAAUGAAUGAUAAACCUAUAUAUGAUUAUAUACCUCUUUUUAAAAACGAAGAUAAUUUGGUUAAUUGAGACUGUAUGGAAAAUGUAGGGUUUUAUUAUCAAGCUUUUUAAGGUUGAAUCCGUAAAAAGGCUUGAAAAAAAUGACAGGAAUAUAGAUAAUUUGGGGAGCUCUUGCUUUUUAGAAUUAAACCUGUAGAAAAGCUCAAAUAUUAAAGUUUUUUAAUUUUGGCUUCUUAUGGUAACUUUUUAAUUUGUUUUUCUUCAGCAUUUUCAACAUUAAAUCUUUUGGUGAAACUGCAGCACAAAAAAGAUUGACUCAGGCUUCUGAAACUUAAUUCUAGCCUUAAAACAUACACAUGUGAACUUCUUUUUACCUUUAAACUUAUGUAAGCUGAAUUCAACAUAACUUGAAGUUACUGAGUCUUGUACCAGAACAAUAUUUAGAUUGAACCUGACAUUGUGUCUACCACUAUGAUUUUGUUAUUUCUCUUUUUCUACUUUACCAGUUUUAUGUACUGAUUAAGCUGCAAUAAAUGUAAUGAAACAAA